AUGCUUGGAGAUAGCCUGUACAGGCCUAUCUCAUUUCACUUCAAACUUUGCUUUCAAAACAAGUCAAAUGGCCAAAAGCUCAUAACACACACAUAUCUGAUAUUGAACUCAAGAAAAAGUUUUCAAACAAGUUUCACACAUCCUUGCAAGCCAGAAGCACGAGCCCUUGACCUCUCAAACCUCCUCAUACUCAAAAACCACAUUUUCUUGCAAAACAGGGCAAGCCCUGCAGAAUCACUUCCAUCUUCACUUUGCCUCGUGCGUUUUGCCUCAAAAUUGUUCCAAUACCUUCCAUUCAACCCACUCAAACUAUUCCAAACCUCCAUUGCCAACUGUAACUCCAUUUACAGUGUUCACCAUUUUUGUUUGAAAGCUUUGCAGGUUGAGUUCUGUAGCACGAUUCAGGCCACUUCAAAACAAACUAAGCAUUGGGAAAGGUUCAGGGGACAUCAAGCAAGCUCAAAAGAACCUCAGGCCCCAUUGAAAGUUGUUGCAUUGUCCAGCUCGAAUUCAACUGAAACAGGUAUUUCAUGA